rnacentral:misc_RNA from 1 species
GAAAUGCGAUAAGUAAUGUGAAUUGCAGAAUUCAGUGAAUCAUCGAAUCUUUGAACGCACAUUGCGCCCCUUGGUAUUCCGAGGGGCAUGCCUGUUCGAGCGUCAUUACAACCCUCAAGCUCUGCUUGGUAUUGGGCACCACCCGUCAGGGUGUGCCUUAAACAUAGUGGCGGCGCCAUCUGGCUCUAAGCGUAGUAAUUCUCUCGCUAUAGGGUCCUGUGGAUGCUUGCCAGCAACCCCAAUUUUAUCUAUGGUUGACCUCGGAUCAGGUAGGGAUACCCGCUGAACUUAA